rnacentral:lncRNA from 1 species
GCUUUAUUUCUCAUAUGCACGAAGUACGCAAGUACAUUAAGUUGAGGUGAACCAGAGGGUCUCCUCUGAGGCCCUGAUGGCCUGAUCACUAUUUAUAGCUGGCGGGAGGCUGGUAGAGCUCCCUACAACUUUCACCAUUUACUUAUUUAUUCUCGUCCCGCCUGCUCCACGGGAUUCACUCACAGUAAAAUACGGAGUAUUUCACAACAGGAAAUGACCAAAGCACAAUCCCCCGUCGCCCUGGCAUGCUUCAUCUUCAUAACGCCUUCC